UACGUAGGGUGCAAGCGUUUGUCCGGAAUUAUUGGGCGUAAAGAGCUCGUAGGCGGUUUGUCGCGUCUGCUGUGAAAACCCGAGGCUCAACCUCGGGCCUGCAGUGGGUACGGGCAGACUAGAGUGCGGUAGGGGAGAUUGGAAUUCCUGGUGUAGCGGUGGAAUGCGCAGAUAUCAGGAGGAACACCAAUGGCGAAGGCAGAUCUCUGGGCCGUAACUGACGCUGAGGAGCGAAAGCAUGGGGGAGCGAACAGG
rnacentral:rRNA from 1 species